rnacentral:rRNA from 1 species
UACGUAGGGUGCGAGCGUUGUCCGGAAUUAUUGGGCGUAAAGAGCUCGUAGGCGGUGUGUCACGUCGGCCGUGAAAACCUGCAGCUUAACUGUGGGCGUGCGGUCGAUACGGGCAUCACUGGAGUUCGGCAGGGGAGACUGGAAUUCCUGGUGUAGCGGUGAAAUGCGCAGAUAUCAGGAGGAACACCGGUGGCGAAGGCGGGUCUCUGGGCCGAUACUGACGCUGAGGAGCGAAAGUGUGGGGAGCGAACAGG